GGGCUCAUGGCCUAAUGGUAAGGCGUUAGAUUUCGGUUCUAUUCACAAGUAGAUGGCCUCUAAAGAUUGCAGGUUCGAUCCCUGCUGAGCUCG